GCAAAUGUUGUUCGGAAUCACUGGGCGUAAAGGGAGCGUAGGCGGGUUCUUAAGUAAGGUGUUUAAUCCCGGGGCCCAACCCCGGACCGGCACUUUAAACUGGGAAUCUUGAAUAGUGGAGAGGUCGGUGGAAUUGGGGGUGUAGCGGUGGAAUGCGUAGAGAUCCCCAAGAACACCAGUUGCGAAGGCGGCCGACUGGACACAUAUUGACGCUGAGGCUCGAAAGCAUGGGGAGCAAACAGG
rnacentral:rRNA from 1 species